AAAGCUGCAAGUUUACAUUUUAGAUGUUGAGUCUUUUUAUUCUGGUGUAACAAGAACAUUGUGGACUGCCAAUGGAAAAUGU